rnacentral:rRNA from 1 species
UACGUAGGGGGCAAGCGUUAUCCGGAUUUACUGGGUGUAAAGGGAGCGUAGACGGCGAUGCAAGUCUGAAGUGAAAGGCGGGGGCCCAACCCCCGGACUGCUUUGGAAACUGUAUGGCUGGAGUGCAGGAGAGGUAAGUGGAAUUCCUAGUGUAGCGGUGAAAUGCGUAGAUAUUAGGAGGAACACCAGUGGCGAAGGCGGCUUACUGGACUGUAACUGACGUUGAGGCUCGAAUGCGUGGGGAGCAAACAGG